CUGUGGAAACAAAGACACCUACAUCUUGGAUGCCCUUGAGAUGAGAUAUAGUCGUUUGGCCCUGUGAUUCUUCAGGACAAGAUCUUGAUGACAUCCACACUCAGUACAUGAUGAAGCUCCUGCGUCCAUUUGGGCUGAAGGUCGAGACAGAACCAACCCACAGCUGGACUGUAACCUACUGUCAUAUGAGAGACUUCAUACUGACAACUACUGGCGUGGAUGCGGCAUCACAUGUUUUUCAACAAAACCUUUUUCACCUAGAAUUUAAAGUGUGGAUUAGUCAUCCCCCAUCCCUCCAUGUCUUCAUCUCUUGUGAGUGGAUAUCAUUUAAAACAUUCUUAAAAGUACUGCUCAAUUUCUUCUG